CCUACGGGUGGCAGCAGUGGGGAAUAUUGCACAAUGGGCGCAAGCCUGAUGCAGCCAUGCCGCGUGUGUGAAGAAGGCCUUCGGGUUGUAAAGCACUUUCAGCGGGGAGGAAGGCGGUGAGGUUAAUAACCUCAUCGAUUGACGUUACCCGCAGAAGAAGCACCGGCUAACUCCGUGCCAGCAGCCGCGGUAAUACGGAGGGUGCAAGCGUUAAUCGGAAUUACUGGGCGUAAAGCGCACGCAGGCGGUCUGUCAAGUCCGAUGUGAAAUCCCCGGGCUCAACCUGGGAACUGCAUUCGAAACUGGCAGGCUAGAGUCUUGUAGAGGGGGGUAGAAUUCCAGGUGUAGCGGUGAAAUGCGUAGAGAUCUGGAGGAAUACCGGUGGCGAAGGCGGCCCCCUGGACAAAGACUGACGCUCAGGUGCGAAAGCGUGGGGAGCAAACAGGAUUAGAUACCCUUGUAGUC
rnacentral:rRNA from 1 species